rnacentral:rRNA from 1 species
ACAGCAGCAGCCACGGUAAUACGUAGGGUGCAAGCGUUAAUCGGAAUUACUGGGCGUAAAGCGUGCGCAGGCGGUUAUAUAAGACAGAUGUGAAAUCCCCGGGCUCAACCUGGGAACUGCAUUUGUGACUGUAUAGCUAGAGUACGGCAGAGGGGGAUGGAAUUCCGCGUGUAGCAGUGAAAUGCGUAGAUAUGCGGAGGAACACCGAUGGCGAAGGCAAUCCCCUGGGCCUGUACUGACGCUCAUGCACGAAAGCGUGGGGAGCAAACAGGAUUAGAUACCCCCGUAGUCCCUGUCUCUUAUAA